rnacentral:lncRNA from 1 species
GCGAAUUAUGUUAGAAAACUGGUUUUGCAGCUGUACAGAAAACACAUGCAGUAUAUGCAAAAUGAGAAACAGAGAGAACAAGAAUCAAUAGUACUUUACGUGAGCACUACACAGUGCAUAGAUCACCCGUAGCAUCCCUAGAUUAUCAGUUGGUUGAUAAUUCAGAGUUAACACACAAGGCUUUAUUGCACAUGUAAUAAAGAUUCCCUCAUCCCAUCGUCCUUCUCCUCCUCUUUCUCCUUCUCCUUCUCCUCCUCCUCCUCCUCCUCUUUCUCCUUCUCCUUUCUCCCUUGUCCUUUCUCCUUUCUCCCCUAUCCUUUCUCCCUUGUCCCAUCUCCCUUCCUCCUUCCUCCCUUCCUUCCUUUCUCCCUCUCCUCCUCCUCUUUCUACUCCUUUUCCUUCUCUCUCUCUCCCUCCUCCUCCCUUCCCCCUGACUCCUCUUUUGGUUCCUGAAAAGAUUGUGAUGGGAGAAUGUCUCUUUGGCCCCUCCCUGCCAGAAAACUUUAGAAUGCUCUCAAAAUUCUGAGCAGUUGGAGUUUCAGUUUAAAGCCCUGGUUUUAGGCGGUUGAGAGGCCCUAUCAACCUCAUCAGUCAAAGGCUAAAAGCUGAUGGAUACUCUUACAGCCUCCUCUGUUUCCAGCAGACCCUGGGUACUUCAGUUUUUCAGAAACCUCUUUGGGAGCAGCAGGCGUGUCACACAAGACAGGCAGAGGCCCAGUGUAGAGGCGAAAGACAGCGAUGAUGCCAAACGUGAACUCCUGGUCCUUCCUUUGCCUGACGCUGAAACAACAUUACCAGGCAAAAAGCCAGAUGUCACCAAUGCCUGUACCAGUGAGGCCUGCGAGGGGUUGGUUGAUAGCUGCCCUGAAGAGCUCUCAUUGCUGAAGAAAAUAAGUGUUAGAGAUACCACCAGCCCCAUAAAAGAGAGCAAGCAAUCUGUUUUACUUGGCACAACUGGGAGGGGAAUGGGAGACCCGGAUGCUUUUGCUGAGUCUCUGAUGAGUAAUGUAGGUCAGGAAGCAAGUGAAAAGAUUCCUAUUCCGGGAGAAAAGAAAGAAGAACCUGGUGAUGUAGGAACAUUGGGAAAGGAUGGAGUCACUCAUACCCUCUGUGCAGAUGAUGGAGUCUGCAUGGCUGUAGAAUCUGUGCCAGAUGUCCAAGAGUGCAAUAUUGAAGAGGAAAAGGAACACCUUCUGAAAGAAAAUCCCCAAGAGGAAUCUUCAAAAGCAGAGCGGUCCCCAUGGAACAGGCUGCUCAAUAGGUACAAGCAACGCCGGAGGAUUCCUAUUUCUAAAGUGGAUAUUUCAGCACAACCAAUAAUUGAAGAUGAAUCUACCCUGGACCUAAUGAUAUAUGGAAUUGCAACACCUAAGUCCCAUGUCUCCUUACCAGAUUCCACUGAGGCUGCUUAUAGGCGUCCUGAAGAUGUGACCAGGGAAAUGAUUGGAAACUGUGAAACAGCAGAGAAAGACAUGGUACCGAAUGCUUCUGGAACCCUGGAAAAUCCAAAGAAUGUGUCCUGAGAAAAUACUGUAAGAGCCACCCUAGUCUAUCAGCUACACUGCUCUUCAUUUUCUUCAGCUGGAAGGAAGACUAACCUACCAAGAAUUCUGUUUUGUAAUCCCCAAGCAUAGUUUCAUACUUUUCACUUGCAUUUCAGUUGAGUUUUUUCUUGCCUUGCCUUUUCUUUUCUUUUUCAGGAGUGUAUAGCUUUCACUCAUUUUGCCCUGAAUUGUAUGGAUCCCUAUAAAUUUAACAGAUGCUUACUUAAUAUAUAUUCUAGCUUGAUUGAUUUGUCUGCCCUCAUUAAAUAACUAUUUUACAGUGUUCUCAUAUAUUUUUUGUGUUCUUUAGUGUGUGCACACUUAAUGUUAUGUUAAAACAAGUCGAAAUUUUAUGCAGCACACAUCACAAAGUUACAGCUUAUGACACCGAAAAUUGCAUUUCUGAGAUCAUGCCAUUCUUCCUAUUGCCCAUUGACUCAUUUAUGAUGUCUCUGCAAGCUACAAGAUGUAUUUGGGGAAGACAUGAUGGUUAAAGAUGCACAGAUAAUGAAUAUCAACAAAAAUAACCUCAAACUGAAUAAAAUGGAAAGAGUGAAAAAUCA